CACACAUUAAUUCACCUAUUCACCAAUAGCGACGCCAUCUUGAAUUUCGCGUUUAACGCAAUGCAUUAUGGGUGAUCCAGGGUAAUUGAGCGUUUUUGAAGGGCUGUAAAUCAAAUAUGUAGGCGAAAACACACGUUUUUAUAGUUGAAAAUAACAGACAAUUUUUAGAAGAACUAGGGAAACACACAAAAGCUGGGAAAAAUAAAAAAAAUCAGGAUAAAAUCUAUAGUUUAAAUCUUUGUUAGGCCUAAAAAGGGAAAUAAUUUCAACAAAGCGGGCACUGCCUCAUUGUCCUCAAGAAAGUGUUUAUGAAAAAAAAAUUAUCGUAUUGUGUCUCAAUACGACAUUAAAGGCUUUUGAAUUCGGAUUUUUACCCUGGAUAACCC